rnacentral:lncRNA from 1 species
AGGUCCAUACAGGAAUUGCAGAAAUCACUUAGGGGGUAGACUUUUAUCUUAGAAUAUCAUGCAGCAAGGAGGAAACAAGGGGGUCGGGAUGUGCAAGGAUGAGAUGGAGAUGUUGGGAUGACAUGAGGAGAAGACAAGGAGGUUCGGACGACGAGAGGAGAUAGUAGGGAGGACGGAUAAUGCAAGGGCCAAAGAAGAGGUGGGAAUGCAAGGAAGGAGAUA